rfam:Cavia porcellus supercont2_1 genomic scaffold, whole genome shotgun sequence.
GGGGAUUUGGCUCAGUGGCAUAAGCACCUGCCUUGUAGGCAGGUGGUCGUGAGUUCAAUCCCUG